GAAAGUAAAAAAGGGCGCAUGGCGGAUGCCUUGGCUCUCGGAGGCGAUGAAGGACGUGAUAAGCUGCGAUAAGCUUUGGGGAGGUGCAAAUGACCUUUGAUCCAGAGAUUUCCGAAUGGGACAACCCAAUAUCUUGAAGAGGUAUUAUCCAACGUUGUUGGAGGCUAACGCAGGGAACUGAAACAUCUUAGUACCUGCAGGAAAAGAAAAUAAACAAUGAUUCCCCCAGUAGUGGCGAGCGAACGGGGAACAGCCCAAACCAUCCAUGUUACGGCAUGGGUGGGGUUGUAGGACUACGCCGUUGCAUGAAGACAUCAGAGAAGAACUUUCUGGAAAGAAAGACCAUAGAGCAUGACAGUUGCGUAUUCGAAUGUUGUCGAAGCAUAGUAGUAUCCUGAGUAGCGCGGAGCACGAGGAAUUCUGCGUGAAUCUGCCGGGACCAUCCGGUAAGGCUAAAUACUCCCGAGAGACCGAUAGCGAACCAGUACUGUGAAGGAAAGGUGAAAAGCACCUCGAACAGAGGAGUGAAAUAGUCCCUGAAACCGUCUGCCUACAAGCGGUCGGAGCAACGUAAGUUGUGACGGCGUGCCUUUUGCAUAAUGAACCUACGAGUUACUUUCUCCGGCAAGGUUAAGGGCUUCAGGCCCGGAGCCGAAGCGAAAGCGAGUCUUAAUAGGGCGUGAUAGUCGGAGUGAGUAGACGCGAAACCAAGUGAUCUACCCUUGGUCAGGAUGAAGGUUGGGUAACACCAACUGGAGGUCCGAAUGGGUAUACGUUGAAAAGUGUUCCAAUGAACUGAGGGUAGGGGUGAAAGGCUAAUCAAACUUGGAGAUAGCUCGUACUCCCCGAAAUGCAUUUAGGUGCAGCCUUGUGAGUUACUAAUGUGAGGUAGAGCGACUGAUAAGAUGCGAGGGCUUCACCGCCUAUCAAGUCUUGACAAACUCCGAAUGCGUGUCAGUUCUAUGUCAGGAGUGAGGGCAUGGGUGCUAAGGUCCAUGUCCUAAAGGAGAACAAUCCGGACCAACAGCUAAGGUCCCAAAAUGAAUACUAAGUUGAACUAACGAAGUCAGAUUGCUAAGACAGCUAGGAUGUUGGCUUGGAAGCAGCCAUUCAUUUAAAGAGUGCGUAACAGCUCACUAGUCGAGGAGUCGGGCGUGGAUAAUAAUCGGGUAUUAAGUUGUCUACCGAAGCAGUGGGAUCAUUUAUAUGAUCGGUAGGGGAGCAUUCCAGUCAGCGUCGAAGGCGUACCGUGAGGUAUUCUGGAGCGUCUGGAAAAGCAAAUGUAGGUAUAAGUAACGAUAAAGGGGGCGGGAAACCCCCUCGCCGAAAGACUAAGGUUUCCUGAUCAACGCUAAUCGGAUCAGGGUCAGUCGGGUCCUAAGGCUCAGCCGAACGGCGAUGCCGAUGGCAGAAACGGUUAAUAUUCCGUUACUACCUUCAGGAGUGACGUGGAGACGCAGUAGUGACAGUGCCGCCAUCUGACGGAAUAGAUGGUUGAAGGGUGUAGGAGUCGAUCAUGGCAGGCAAAUCCACCAUGAGAUCCGAACCUGAUAGUAUGCCGCGUCCUUCGGGACAAGGCAAUAGUGCGCGUAAGCAUGCUGCCGAGAAAAUCCGCUAAACUUAAUCCUGCAGGUACCCGUACCGCAAACGGACACACGUAGUCGGGAUGAAUAUUCUAAGGCGCUUGAGUGAUUCACGGUUAAGGAACUAGGCAAACUGACCCUGUAACUUCGGGAUAAAGGGUCCCUACCCUUUUAUGGGAGGGCGCAGAGAAUCGGUCCAGGCAACUGUUUAACAAAAACACAGGGCUGUGCCAAAUCGAAAGAUCCAGUAUACAGCCUGACACCUGCCCGGUGCUGGAAGGUUAAGAGGAGAUGUCAUCGAUAAGAGAAGCGUUGAAUUGAAGCCCCAGUAAACGGCGGCCGUAACUAUAACGGUCCUAAGGUAGCGAAAUUCCUUGUCGGGUAAGUUCCGACCUGCACGAAUGGUGUAAUGAUCUGGACACUGUCUCAACCGUGAGCUCAGUGAAAUUGUAGUAUCGGUGAAGAUGCCGAUUACCCGCGAUGGGACGAAAAGACCCCGUGAACCUUUACUAUAGCUUAUCAUUGAAUCUGGGCACGUGAUGUGUAGGAUAGGUCGGAGGCUUUGAAGCAGGUACGCCAGUAUUUGUGGAGCCGCUGUUGAAAUACGACCCUUUAUUUGUUUGGAUUCUAACCCGUGGAUACGGGGACAUUGAUUGGUGGGUAGUUUGACUGGGGUGGUCGCCUCCAAAAGCGUAACGGAGGCUUCUAAAGGUGCCCUCCGGCCGAUUGGUAACCGGCCUUAGAGUGUAAUGGCAUAAGGGCGCUUGACUGGGAGACUAACAAGUCGAUCAGGUAGGAAACUAGAGCAUAGUGAUCCGGUGUUUCCGUAUGGAA
rnacentral:rRNA from 1 species